GAUGAAGAACGUAGCAAAAUGCGAUACUUGGUGUGAAUUGCAGAAUCCCGUGAAUCAUCGAGUUUUUGAACGCAAGUUGCGCCCGAAGCCUUUUGGCCGAGGGCACGUCUGCCUGGGCGUCACGCAUCGCGUCGCCCCCCACAAUUCUCCGUAAAGGGAACGUGUGUUUUGGGGGCGGAUAUUGGUCUCCCGUGCUCAUGGCGUGGUUGGCCGAAAUAGGAGUCCUUUCGAUGGACGCACGAACUAGUGGUGGUCGUAAAAACCCUCGUCUUUUGUUUCGUGCUGUUGCUCGCAAGGUAAACUCUUUAAAAACCCCAAUGUGUCGUCUCUUGACGACGCUUCGACCGCGACCCCAGGUCAGGCGGGACUACCCGCUGAGUUUAAGCAUAUCAAUAAGCGGAGGA
rnacentral:misc_RNA from 1 species